UGGGGUGUAGGUCAAUGGCAGACCACCCGGCUGUUAACCGGGAUGUUGCAGGUUCGAGUCCUGCCGCCCCAG
rnacentral:tRNA from 1 species